CCUACGGGGGGCUGCAGUGGGGAAUUUUGGACAAUGGGCGCAAGCCUGAUCCAGCCAUUCCGCGUGAGUGAAGAAGGCCUUCGGGUUGUAAAGCUCUUUCGCAAGGGAAGAAAACUUAUCCUCUAACAUAGGAUGAGGUUGACGGUACCUUGAUAAGAAGCACCGGCUAACUACGUGCCAGCAGCCGCGGUAAUACGUAGGGGGCGUACGGUAAUCGGAAUUACUGCACGCUGAGUGGUCACACGCUUGUGAAAUCCCCGAGCUCAACUUGGGAACUGCGUUUGAAACUACAAGACUAGAAUAGGUCAGAGGGGGGUAGAAUUCCACGUGUAGCAGUGAAAUGCGUAGAGAUGUGGAGGAAUAUCAAUGGCGAAGGCAGCCCCCUGGGAUCAUAUUGACGCUCAUGCACGAAAGCGUGGGGAGCAAACAGGAUUAGAUACCCCUGUAGUC
rnacentral:rRNA from 1 species